rnacentral:rRNA from 1 species
UACGAAGGGGGCUAGCGUUGCUCGGAAUCACUGGCGUAAAGGGCGCGUAGGCGGCGUUUUAAGUCGGGGGUGAAAGCCUGUGGCUCAACCACAGAAUGGCCUCGAUACUGGGACGCUUGAGUAUGGUAGAGGUUGGUGGAACUGCGAGUGUAGAGGUGAAAUUCGUAGAUAUUCGCAAGAACACCGGUGGCGAAGGCGGCCAAACUGGACC